CCUACGGGAGGCAGCAGUAAGGAAUAUUGGUCAAUGGGCGGAAGCCUGAACCAGCCAUGCCGCGUGCAGGAAGACGGCCCUACGGGUUGUAAACUGCUUUUGUACCAGAAUAAACCUUUCUUCGUGAAGAAAGCUGAAUGUAUGGUAAGAAUAAGGAUCGGCUAACUCCGUGCCAGCAGCCGCGGUAAUACGGAGGAUCCAAGCGUUAUCCGGAUUUAUUGGGUUUAAAGGGUGCGUAGGUGGCUUUUUAAGUCAGGGGUGAAAGACGGUAGCUUAACUAUCGCAGUGCCUUUGAUACUGAAGAGCUUGAAUCCACUAGAGGUAGGCGGAAUGUGACAAGUAGCGGUGAAAUGCAUAGAUAUGUCACAGAACACCAAUUGCGAAGGCAGCUUACUAUGGUGGUAUUGACACUGAGGCACGAAAGCGUGGGGAUCAAACAGGAUUAGAUACCCUGGUAGUCCACGACCUAACCGAUAGAUACUACGAUGUUGGUCGAUAUACUAGUCAGCGUCGUAGUACGAACGACGUUAAGUUAGUUACCUACCGUCGGGUAGGUACGGCCGGCCGAGGGUAGGUUAAACGUUACGUAAAGUUAGUUAAGUUAGUUACGGCGUUGAGACGUUGCCGACGGACGACGACGAGGGAGGAGG
rnacentral:rRNA from 1 species